CAGCAGCCGCGGUAAUACAGAGGGUGCGAGCGUUAAUCGGAUUUACUGGGCGUAAAGCGUGCGUAGGCGGCUUCUUAAGUCGGAUGUGAAAUCCCUGAGCUUAACUUAGGAAUUGCAUUUGAUACUGGGAAGCUAGAGUAUGGGAGAGGAUGGUAGAAUUCCAGGUGUAGCGGUGAAAUGCGUAGAGAUCUGGAGGAAUACCGAUGGCGAAGGCAGCCAUCUGGCCUAAUACUGACGCUGAGGUACGAAAGCAUGGGGAGCAAACAGGAUUAGAUACCCGAGUAGUCCCUGUCUCUUAUAC
rnacentral:rRNA from 1 species